UCCAGACUCCUACGGGAGGCAGCAGUGGGGAAUAUUAGACAAUGGGGGAAACCCUGAUCCAGCGACGCCGCGUGAGUGAAGAAGUAUUUCGGUACGUAAAGCUCUAUCAGCAGGAAAGAAAAUGACGGUACCUGACUAAGAAGCCCCGGCUAACUACGUGCCAGCAGCCGCGGUAAUACGUAGGGGGCAAGCGUUAUCCGGAUUUACUGGGUGUAAAGGGAGCGUAGACGGCAGCGCAAGUCUGGAGUGAAAUGCCGGGGCCCAACCCCGGAACUGCUCUGGAAACUGUGAAGCUGGAGUGCAGGAGAGGUAAGCGGAAUUCCUGGUGUGGCGGUGAAAUGCGUAGAUAUCAGGAGGAGCACCGGCGGCGCAGGCGGCUUACUGGGCUGUAACUGACGUUGAGGCUCGAAAGCGUGGGGAGCAAACAGGAUUAGAGACCCUGGUAAAA
rnacentral:rRNA from 1 species